rnacentral:rRNA from 1 species
AUGAUUGGAGUGAAGUCGUAACAAGGUAGCUGUAGGUGAACCUGCAGAAGGAUCA